ACGUAGGGGGCAAGCGUUGUCCGGAAUCAUUGGGCGUAAAGAGCUCGUAGGCGGUUCAGUAAGUCAGGUGUGAAAGCUCCGAGCUCAACUCGGAGAGGCCACCUGAUACUGCUGUGACUAGAAUCCAGUAGGGGAGUGUGGAACUCCUGGUGUAGCGGUGAAAUGCGCAGAUAUCAGGAAGAACACCAGCGGCGAAGGCGGCACUCUGGGCUGGAAUUGACGCUGAGGAGCGAAAGUGUGGGUAGCAAACAGG
rnacentral:rRNA from 1 species